AUGGCUCUUCUUGUCCUAGUACUGACCACGGUGGCUUUCUCGCUGCUGCUGCCCGGCACGGCCGCGCUUGAUCAGCCAGCAAACGCGACCGACGACGACCUCUCGGCGCUGCUGGCCUUCAGGACCAGCGUGCGUGACCCGCGCGGCGUCCUGCGUCGCAGCUGGACGGCACGCACGCCCUUCUGUGGCUGGCUCGGCGUCUCGUGCGACGCCCGUGGGCGGCGUGUGGCCGCGCUGUCGCUCCCCGGCAUGCCACUCGGAGGCGCCAUACCACCGGAGCUUGGCAACCUCUCCUUCAUCUCCCACCUCAACCUCAGCAACACAGGGCUGGCCGGCGUGAUCCCUGCCGAGCUUGGCCGGCUCGCGCGGCUCAGACACCUCGACCUCGACGAGAACCGCCUGUCAGGUACCAUCCCCUCGGCGCUCGGCAACCUCACCGAGCUCCAGUACCUACACAUCGGCUACAAUUCACUCUCCGGGGCCAUUCCCACACAGUUGCGCGCGCUGCGCAACCUCCGGUACAUAAACCUCAACAGCAACGACCUGAGUGGCACCAUACCUAUAGGCCUCUUCAACAACACGCCCAAUUUGAGCGUCAUAUGGUUUGGCAGGAACAGGCUCGCUGGAAGCAUACCUGAAGCCAUUGGCCAUUUGAGGAAGCUUGAAAUCCUUGUCCUGGAACUCAACCUUCUUACUGGCACUGUCCCUGCUGCCAUCUUUAACAUGUCCAUGCUCCGAAUCUUCGGUUUGGGGAACAACAAUCUUUUCGGCUCCCUCCCUGGCAACAAGAGCUUUAGCCUCCCCAUGCUACAAAAACUAGGUCUUUCUUCGAAUCAUUUUACUGGCCCAAUCCAGCCGGCACUGGCCAGAUCCAACAAACUUGAGCUUCUUUCUAUCUCCAUUAAUAACUUCACUGGUCCUGUACCGGCAUGGUUAGCAACAAUGCCUCGGCUUUCUACUAUUCUACUGUCGGCAAAUAACCUCGUCGGUAAGAUCCCGGUUGAGCUAAGCAACCGCACAGACCUUGUCAUGCUUGAUCUUAGUGUCAACCAGCUGGAAGGAGAAAUUCCACCUCAAAUAGGCUAUUUGAGAAACCUCAAUUACUUGAGCUUUUCGACAAACCUCCUAACAGGUAAAAUUCCUGAAUCCAUAGGCAAUAUAUCAAGCAUAAAAACUCUUGAUCUGACACUCAAUGCCUUCACUGGAUCAGUUCCAACCACGUUUGGGAAUGUUCGUAGUCUUACAGGCUUGUAUGUGGAUGGAAACAAGCUUAGCGGGAAGCUAAACUUUAUCCAUGCACUCUCCAACUGCAAGAACCUGAGUACCCUUGGCAUAUCGUCCAAUUCGUUUGCAGGAAGCAUACCUGACUAUUUGGGAAACCUUACUUCACAACUCCAGUACUUCAUAGCAAGUUCUAACAGCCUAACAGGGAGCAUUCCAGAUACAAUUGCAAAUCUUAGCAGCCUUACCACAAUUGAUCUCGACGGAAACCAACUGAGCGGGACCAUCCCUGUAUCCGUCACUACACUGAACAAUCUCCAAGAACUCAACCUUGCCAACAACACCUUGACCGGCGCCAUCCCAGAAGAAAUUUCCAGAUUAACACGCCUAGUACGAUUAUAUCUUGAUAAAAACCAGUUGUCUGGCCCGAUACCGAGCACUAUGGGUAAUCUAAGUGAGCUGCAGUACAUGACAUCUUCUCUUAACUCACUGUCUUCGACCAUACCCUUCAGUCUCUGGCGCCUCUCAAAGCUCAUCAGUCUUAAUCUGGCAUACAACAUGCUGACUGGUCCACUGCCGAGAGAUGUUAGCCAAGUAAAACAAAUUGCUCAAAUGGAUCUUUCAAGCAAUCUUAUGACCGGUGGCUUACCGGAUUCCUUGGGCAGGCUCCAGAUGCUCACCUACCUGAACCUGUCAAACAAUUCAUUCCAGGAACAAAUCCCAAACUCAUUUGGAGAGCUAGUCAGCAUAGAGACCAUGGACCUAUCAUACAAUUCCCUUCGGGGUACCAUACCAAAGUCACUGGCCAAUCUGACCUUCCUCACUAGCCUGAACCUCUCUUUCAAUAAACUAGAUGGUCCGAUACCGGAUAGAGGAAUUUUCUCAAACAUCACACUUCAGUCUUUGAGAGGAAACGAUGCUCUCUGUGGCCUCUCACGUCUAGGCAUUUCACCCUGUCAGAGCCAUCAUAAAUCACCGGAAUCGUUGAUAAAAAUUAUACUUCCUGUAGCCGGGGGAGUUGCAAUUUUGGCUACCUGCUUGUGCAUAUUAAUCAGAACAAAGAUCAAGAAGUGCAAAAAGACAUCAGUUCCCUCGGAAUCCAACAUAAUCAACUACCGCUUAAUAUCAUUCCACGAGCUUGUUCGUGCUACAGAAAACUUCAGUGAGGACAAUCUGAUUGGAUCUGGGAACUUUGGCAAAGUCUUCAAGGGACAACUGGAUGACGAAUCAAUUGUUGCAGUAAAGGUGCUCAACAUGCAACAUGAAGGAGCCUCUGUGAGUUUUGAUGCAGAGUGUCGUGCUCUGCGCAUGGCCCGUCACCGGAACCUAGUGAAAAUACUUAGCACUUGCUCCAACUUUGAAUUCAAGGCCCUGGUGCUCCAGUACAUGCCAAAUGGGAGUUUGGAUAGUUGGCUGCACUCAAGCAACAGCCCUCAGGGUUUGGGGUUCCUCAAGAGGUUAGAAAUUAUGCUAGAUGUAGCGAUGGCGAUGGAGUACCUCCACCACCAGCACACCGAGGUUGUUCUUCAUUGUGAUCUGAAGCCUAGCAAUGUAUUGCUGGACGCAGACAUGACUGCGCACAUCGCUGACUUUGGCAUUGCCAAGUUGUUGUUGGGUGAUGAUAACUCCAUUGCGUUAACAAACCUGCCCGGAACAAUCGGCUACAUGGCACCAGAGUAUGGAUCAACUGGUAAAGCAUCACGCAUGAGCGAUGUGUUCAGCUAUGGGAUCAUGAUGCUGGAGGUCUUCACGGGGAAAAGACCCACUAGCCCGCUGUUCGGUGAGGAGCUCAGCUUGCGGCAAUGGGUUACUAAAGCAUUUCCAACCAGGCUUAUAGAUGUUGUCGACAACGAAGUUCUAUCACAAGGAAUCAAGAGUGAUUGCCAUGCUAGCGAUGAAAGCACAUCGAGAGAGCAGUCUAUCAUUCUCAACACAUGCCUUGCAUCUGUAAUAGAGUUGAGUUUACAGUGCUCAUCAACGAUGCCUGAUGAAAGAACCGCAAUGGACAAGGUGGUAGUGAAGCUGAACAAGGUAAAGGUAGAUUACUGCUUGCAAAUGAGGUAG
rnacentral:rRNA from 1 species